UACGUAGGGUGCGAGCGUUAAUCGGAAUUACUGGGCGUAAAGCGUGCGCAGGCGGUUUUAUAAGCCAGAUGUGAAAGCCCCGGGCUCAACCUGGGAAUGGCAUUUGGGACUGUAAGGCUGGAGUAUGGCAGAGGAGACUAGAAUUCCUGGUGUAGCAGUGAAAUGCGUAGAUAUCAGGAGGAAUACCGAUGGCGAAGGCAGGUCUCUGGGCUGACACUGACGCUCAUGCACGAAAGCGUGGGGAGCAAACAGG
rnacentral:rRNA from 1 species